rnacentral:rRNA from 1 species
CCUACGGGAGGCUGCAGUGGGGAAUAUUGGACAAUGGGCGAAAGCCUGAUCCAGCCAUGCCGCGUGUGUGAAGAAGGCCUUCGGGUUGUAAAGCACUUUCAGUGGGGAAGAAAGCCUUGGGGCUAAUACCCUCGAGGAAGGACAUCACCCACAGAAGAAGCACCGGCUAACUCCGUGCCAGCAGCCGCGGUAAUACGGAGGGUGCGAGCGUUAAUCGGAAUUACUGGGCGUAAAGCGCGCGUAGGCGGUCUGAUAAGCCGGUUGUGAAAGCCCCGGGCUCAACCUGGGAACGGCAUCCGGAACUGUCAGGCUAGAGUGCAGGAGAGGAAGGUAGAAUUCCUGGUGUAGCGGUGAAAUGCGUAGAGAUCGGGAGGAAUACCAGUGGCGAAGGCGGCCUUCUGGACUGACACUGACGCUGAGGUGCGAAAGCGUGGGUAGCAAACAGGAUUAGAUACCCCAGUAGUC